rnacentral:lncRNA from 1 species
GUUAGUUGGAUUAAAUGAAUUCAUGAAUAUAAAAAUAUUUUGCUGAGUAUAAGAUGUACCACAGAUGUGGGGGAUUAAAUGUAAGGGACUGCUCGCAGGAAUCUGUUCCUAAUGCAUUUAGUAUAUGGCCCUCAGUAAGCAUGAAGGUUUCGAGUCCCCGUUAGAAGCCAGACUUUCAGAACAACUGUCUUCCUAUCCCGUGCACUUUUGAAUAAUGCUUUUUCUUAAUGAAAGUGUUGUAUACACAGUAACCAGUCCAAGUGGUAGAAAAUGAAAACUGAAAGUUCGCUCUCACCUCAAACCCAAGUAUAACGCCCAGACCCGAACAGUUAUACUUAACCUUAUAAUAGCUCAGAACUUGACAAUGAGUCUGCCAUUGUUACAAGCUCUUCACAGAUGAACUCCGUUGGACACUCUCAACAACCCUAUGGCUCAGGGAUUCCUGUGACCCUGGUUGUAUGUAUGAGCAAACUGAGUCACAGGGACAAGAAGCUGUUUGCGCAGGGUCACACAGCCACACACAGUCACGGGCGCUCACACAGCCUGGCUUCCAAGUUCAUACUCUGAGGCACCUUUCCAAACGAGUAUAUGGAAUACCUAUGGUACAUUCCAUUGUAUAAUGUAUCCUGCUAAGAUUUUUACAAUCUCCUAAAUUUUUCAGUGUUCAAAAUGAAGUACAAAACAUAGGAAACUUGGGCCACCCUGGACCACCUAGUGCUCUCGUGUUUGUCUACAGCUUACAUUUCUGCAAGUGGAAAGCGGAAACAAAGACUGAAUGUCUCAGGCGAUAACCAUCAGGCUGCCUUCCACGCUGAAGAGCAAUGAUCACUGGGGGUCUGCAGACCCCCAGAGUCACGGAGAGGACAUGGAAGAAAGGGAAGGAGAGAGAGAGACCAAGAAAUGGAGACACAGAUCUGUUAUGUGCUAAAAACAAAGAAGAACCUCAUAACCGAUGUGUAUAUGUAUGUCUGAGCAUCAGAGGACACAGACCUCCAGAAUCCUGUGUGCGUGUUUGAGAAGGAUAAAUAGUCCGCAUUUGAGAGCAUGUGGCAAGACAUGAUUCCUAGCUUACUUCGUAUUUCGUAUUAAAUACAAAAAGACACCUUAAUACACUAACAGCAGAAAUUCAGUCUAUUUUGCCUUUAUGGACAUCUGUUCUCAGACUAAUGGUUGUUUACCUAACUGCUAUAAUAAAGGCUAAUUUCUACAUUAAAGUAAUACUUGG